GAUAACGUGGUGAAUGAUCUUGUUUUAACUGAAGUGAUGAGUACCAGUUAGAACAACAUCAUUUACAAUGUUAUCAGUUGU